AUCCAGCUGACGAGUUCAAAAUCGGAUGAAACGCGCAUCCUGGAU
rfam:Schistosoma curassoni strain Dakar, Senegal genome assembly, scaffold: SCTD_contig0002844